CUGCGCUGCCAACAGGAAACUUGAGAGGGCCAGGGGCUCGGCCGCCGCCCUGUCCCUCGGCCGGAAGCCGCGCGCCCCCCGCCGCCUGGCCUCCGCUGGGCCGCGCCGCAGCCCGGGGUCAGCUGCCAACCACGCUCCCCGGACCUGGUCUCCACUGCCACCGCCGGGCUCUGAAACCGCGCCCCACAGUGUUCGGAUUUGCCCUGGCCUCUUCCCUGACCAGUCCUUUCCCAAGGAGAGUGAAGUUGCCUGGAUGGUAGCAAGAAGCUUGGACUCUACUUUGGAUGACUCUGUUAUUUGAAACCACAUGGCUCUGUGAACCCCAGGGAUUAGAAUGGAAACCAGCAAUGAAUUGGUGUCAUGGCCACUUUGUAGGGCUCCCACAGACGGCAAGCACAAUGAUCAACAACAGACACCACCCUUCCUCCAAGACGUGAGGGAGGCCGCCACCUGGACAUGUCCUUUGACAACCAGCUGCAGAGUGUGCUGCUGCCCAUUGUGGACAAGAGGUCAGGGGAGCUGCUGGAGGAAUUGGUGUUCCAGGUGCCAGGAAGCAGGGAUCACUGGGCCGGGGCAGUGGCAAGAACAUCAGAAGGGAGCUCCUGGUGGGUGCAACAUCAGAUGGCAGUUCUAAAUCUCUUUCUUCACAUGACCAUAUUUGUUA